UAAAAUAAUUUCUUUAAAAAUUAUUGGAUGAAUGCUCAAAGCAAAAUUUAAAGUCACGUGUCGGGGGUGCUCACUCCCUGCCAUAUACUGGGAGUGUCCUGUCCCAACACGUGUCCAGAAGGGGAGCCGUGUCCCCAGGGGGCUCGCGGGCACUGCCAGUGUGGCUAGUGUGACUAGGGAGCUGAACUUUAAAGUGGUACUUGGUUAUAAUUAAUGUAACUUGAUGUUUAAAUUGCCACAUGUGGCUAGUGGCUACCAGGUGAGACCAUGCAACCCUGAAAAAUAAAAAAUAUGGUCGCCAGAGAACAAAAGGUUAGGAGGUAAAGUCGGUGUUAUUUCACUGUUUCAAGGUUCUUAUGUGGCUGAUCAGAUGCUGUAUGAUUUCAAAGUGAACUGUGGUAAUUUCUAGCUCAGCCACUAAGUAAGUAUAAAUGUAUAUAUUACAUAUAAUGUUAUAUAAUAGCCUAUAUAUAAAAAAUACAAUAGAGGAAAUAAAUAGAAUUUUAAAAAAUAUAUGAAUCGUCCAAUAGCAAAAAGAAAGAAGGCAAGAAGAUCAGAUGGAACAAAUACAGUACAAGGUAGGGAUUUUAAACCCACUGUGUCAAUCAUUAUAUUAAAUGUAAAUGCACAGAACACUACAAUUAGAAGCCAGAAGCUUUGAGUAAAAAGAAAAAAAAACCCACCUGACUUAGGAGUUUACAAAAUACACUUUCAAUCUAAAGACCAAGACAAGCCAAAGUUACAAGGAUGCAAAAAGAAGCAUCAUUCAGACAUACACUGUGCGAUCUCCGGGGACACUGACAUGAGACUGGGCCACCUCAGGUCAGGACUGUUAGAGGAGACUGACCCACAGUGACACAGUCAACUCAGCAGGAAAAUGCAAGAAUCCUGAGUACAUAUCAGAACAUAACUUCCAGGGCGCCCAGCUGGCUCAGUUGGUGGAGCAUGCGACUGGAUCGCAGGGCUGUGGGUUCGGGCCCCGCACUGGGGGUAGAGAUGACUUAAGGAGAUGAAAUCUUAAAAAAAAAAAAAAAAAAAAAAAAAAAAAAAAAAAAAAAAAAAAAAAAAAAAAAAAAAAGCACAUAACUUCCAAAUGCUCAAAGCAAAAAUGGACAGAACUGAAAUGAGAAACAAAGGAACCCACAGACAUGGUUCAAGAUGUUAAUCCUCGUCUAUGUAGUUAUUAGCACAAGCAGGAAGAAAAGUCUAGAAGGAAAAGAGAGUAGGAUGAAGCCUGGCCCUUCCAGUGCUAAUGCUGGGCAGGCCUGGCUGGAGAAGGUACUGUCAGAAGUGUGGGUUGGUUAACAAGCACUGUGCAGUGUUUGCUGCUUGCCGGGUACCGCUUUAAGGACCUUUCUAGAUACUGACUCAUGCCGUCCUCAUGACACCUGUAUUUGACGGAUGCUGUGAUGGCUUGCAUAUCCCACUCGGGCAGUGGCAGGCACAGGGAAGGUAACCUGCCCACCCCAGGACACCCCGUACUGCUCGGCACCGCUUCACAUGGAGAGGCAAAAGUAAGGCCACCUCCACAUGCCCCUCCAGUAAAAAGGGGUGCUUAUUAAUGUUAUAAUUGUGAAUUUUGGUAAUCUUUAAAAGACAAAAAUUCAGAGCAAAAUCCAAAUCCAGCACUGCAACUGGUUUCAUUUAAGAAACCCGUACAACCUGUGAUUGAAACUCCUGUGGCCCUAAGCACAUAAGCCCACAUUUCAGCAUUUCUGCCUGAGCUGAAACACCUUCAUCGGGAGAAAGCCACACCCAGCAGUCUGCAUGUCCUGCACAUGGAGAGUCUCCCUGUCCAGCCCUUGCCCAAGUUUCCAUGUCCUCCCACUACGCCCGAGUGGUGUGGGGGACCUGUGUCCACCCCAGCAGCCGGGCUCUGCCCACAGCUUGCCUGUGCCCUGUCCCUCCCCACCCAACAGCUCCCUUCCCUGUUUAUUCCCACGUCCCACCCUUGUUCAUACAGUUCUGCCCACACGCAGGUACCAUCUCCCCAUCGAUCCAGUUCCCUCAUGAUACACAGCACAGUCGGCACUUGAACGACCUGAGGGUUAGAGGGACCAACUCCCAGCACUGUCAAAAACUGGGUAUAACUUUUGACUCCCCCAAAACUUUACUAAUAGCCUACUGUUGAGUAGAAGCUUUAUCAAUAACAUAAAUGGUUGAUUAACAAUAUGUUGUAUGUUAAACGUUUCCUAUACUGUAUUCUUACUAAAGAAAAUAAGCUAGAAUAAAAAACUGUUAGUGAAAUCAGAAGGAAGAGAAAAUACAUUGGUACUGUACUGUAUUGAAAAAAAUCCACCUGGAAGUGGAACUACACGUUCAAACCUAUGUGGUCCAAGGGUCCACUGUGUUCCCCCAUUGUGGCAACACUGGAUUUUGUAACCUGUGUGUGUAACGGUUAUUUGACAUUUAGUAACUAAGGGCUGGUGAUGUUUCUUGCUGCCUUCCUUUCAUUGUUACUUAGUUUCUGUAAUGUGUGCCCCUGUCUCCCCAGCUGCGGAGACCUCCAUUUAUACUUCUGAGCCAUUCAGUGCCAUGCCCGUGAUAGACUCUCAGUACUUGUCUGCCCCAGGAAGUCAUGUAACUCCACUCAUCUGACUUGGCUGCCAGGUGCUGCUUCCAACUUGUCCUUGGCUGUGGGGAACACGGAGAAAACACAUAGUCUUAUUUUGGCCAUGCUUUCAGAGAAAAUCUAAGAUAUAUUCAUGAAAAUAUGGCAAUGCUGAUAAUCAAUAACGUAAAUUUAAAAAGUAUUAUCAUGGAUGUAAGCACUAUAUUAAAUAAAUGAUAAAUUUCACAUUUUCUGGUUUUCUUUUCAGAGAUACAAGUACCACAGUGUAAAAAAUCAUAUAACCAAAGACUCUGCUACCCAGCCUUCUGAGAAGAAUGAACCAUACGCCCUGGGCUCGAGGGCAGGAGUAGGCUGUUGGCGCAUUCCUCCACCAGCAUCUGCACAGCACUGGGCAGGCAGUAGGUACUUCGUACGUAUGCCACAUCGCGGAGCCGAACUGAGGUCUACUUGGUCAAGAAAUCCAAAUUUAUAUGAUUAUGAAGUUUCACAUAGUUGUGAUGCAAUCCCAACAUCACAACGACCUGACAUCAAAGCCCUACUGAUGCGACCUGCUCUUCUUGACCAUUCAGCAGGUGUGGGGGGGGGGGUGUCUCUCGGUGCCCAUAAGUAUAAUUACCAAUACCAUUUUUUCACUGUCAUUGUAUAUACAGAGAAGUACCUGUCAAUAUAGAGCUCAUCCCAACUGGCUUAAGUGACUACACUGGUACAGACCACUAAACAAAAGAAACAGAUUCUUGAAUAUUGAUUUGCUAAAUUUAUGCCCUGUUCGAACUACAGAGUAAGUAUCAUCCCAAUCAAAACCUCAGCUGGCUUUUUUGUAGAAAUUGACAAGCCAACUUUCAUAUUCAUAUGGAAAUGCAGGGGACCGAGGAAAAUCAGAAUGAGCUUGGAAGAGAACCACACUGAAAGGCAAGAGGCUUGAGCAGCUCCGUCGCAAGAGAAGAUACGUGAACGGCCAGUCAGCACGUGAAGAGUGUGCAGCAUCAUGAGUCAUCAGGGGAAUGCAAACUGAAACCACAGCCAGAUACCGGUAGAACGGCUAAGAUUAGUGAGACCAACCUUGCCACGUGCCGAGGACGAUGUGAAGCAACUAGAAGUCCUGCACGUUGUUGGGACACAGCAUGGGGCGACUGCUUCGGGAAACAGCUGGGCAGUCUCUCCUAUAAAGUUACACACACACACACACACACACACCCUUACCGCACCACCCAGCCACUCCACUCCCGAGCACUUACCCAAGAGAAAGCAAAGCAUCUGCCUACAAACGGGUCUGUACAGGAAUCUUCGCGGCAGCUUUAUUCAGAAUAAUCAAAAACGCAAACAAUCCGGGACACCUGGGGGGCUCAGUCAGUUCAGCGGCCGACUCUUGAUUUCAGCUCAGGUCAUGAUCUCGGGGUCGUGGGACGGAGCCCCACCUCCGGCUCUGCACAUAGCGGGGAGUCUGCUUGGGGUUCUCACGCCCUCUGCCUCUCCCCUCCCCCACUCACUCGUUCUCUCCAAUAAAUAAAUAAAUAAAACCC